rnacentral:rRNA from 1 species
UACAGAGGUGGCAAGCGUUGUUCGGAAUUACUGGGCGUAAAGGGCGCGUAGGCGGCCCACUAAGUCAGACGUGAAAUCCCCCGGCUUAACCUGGGAACUGCGUCUGAUACUGGAGGGCUUGAGUAUGGGAGAGGGAUGUAGAAUUCCAGGUGUAGCGGUGAAAUGCGUAGAUAUCUGGAGGAAUACCGGUGGCGAAGGCGGCAUCCUGGACCAUUACUGACGCUGAGGCGCGAAAGCGUGGGUAGCAAACAGG